rnacentral:lncRNA from 1 species
CACCCGCCUCGGCCUCCUAAAGUGCUGGGAUUACAGGCCCCUCACAGCGAUUCUUUAAGACUACAAUAAACUCUUUUGAUGCCUGCUGUUGAGCAGGGUUCAAUAUUACUCCUUCUCAUGAAAGGUUGGUUGGCCCCAAACAAAGCCUGCUACGGUCACCAGGAAUCCCAUGUAUAAACCUUUGCAAUCAUUAUAACUGCUUGGCCAUGGGAUGCUGUCCACAGGUGUUCUGUGAGGAUAUACAGCUUAUAGGGAAGACUCAGUGUUAUUGUAAAUGGGUCCCACCCUUGAGUCAAUUCAUCUGAAAGCUCAAAUGUACAUUUUAGGGUAAAAUUUAUUCAAAGCUGAUCACAAUUGUGUGUACACUGAAGUAGGAAGGUGUUGAAGCACGAGUCUCUCACCCUCCCAGAUAUCCCAUAAUCUAAUUGAUAUGCUAAUGCAUUUCUUUUCUUUUUGGCUAGCUAAUGUGUUCUUUGUAAAUAUGAAUCUCAGUGAUAUAAUAUCUGUAGAGGAGGAAGAGGGAAGGGUAUGAGGUUCAAGUUGAUGUUAAUCUAUAAAUACUAGCUAAAAUGUGUAUAGAUGACUAGAAUUACAUAUCGUCAUCCUAGUGUUAGUCUUCACUACUAUGUUUUUUUCUCCCAAAUUUAGAUGUAAAAUACUUCAGAGACAAAGACUUCAUCUUCUCAUCAGAGUGUGAUAUUUAAGAAUGUGGGCUCUGCCAACAGACUACCUGAUUUGAAUCCUGGCUUCACCAUUUUUUAGCUGUGUGCCCCUGGGCAAGGUGUUUUCCUGCUCAUCGAUGGAGCAAUAAUGAGCACAGACACAUUUCACACUGUCAACUUGCUUUAGCAUCCUCCAGCCUUCUGACACAACUCGUCUCCAGCUACAAUGAGUGCCAGCUCCAUUUAUGUAUCCUCCUUCCCAAAUCUCCUCUAUAUCUGAUUUCACAUGGAAAUAAUCACAGUCAGAGUGUUUAUGGAAGUCUCUAUGGCAACAAUCCAUUCUCUGGUCUCCACGGUGACACUUGCAAACACUUAUAACCUCUCAAAUUCAUUUUGUUUAUUUGAAACGUCUCCUGAUUUGAUUUAUCAGCCUAAGCCAUGCAUAACAACACAAAUCUACUUCUUUCCAAGCAUAAAAAGGAAAGAGAUGGGAGAGAAAAUGAAGUGAAAUAAUAUUUAGGUCAUGUCUUAUAUGGGAAACCAAAGCUAGCAUUUGUAUUUCAUUGCUUAAAUAAGUAAGGAACAUGUAAUUAGUACUUAAACAUAUAUACAAAUUGUCUUUUAACAGUAGAAAAACUAGAUUCUUAGUUAAAAAAAAAAAGAUGUGUAGAACAAACAUUACUGAGUUAGUAAUCAGAAGAUCUGAAAUCUAGAUCUACUUUUAAGAAAUCCAACCAUUCCAAGACUGAAGAUUUUCUUGGCUUAUGAGACUGUAACUGCUAAAACCAGGAGAGAGCUGGGGAAAUCGAGAUGAUUGCUCACCCUAGUGUGCACACUGGAAACAGUCGGCUGAUACCUCCAUCCUCAUCUUCGUCAUGUCAUUGAGGGGUUAAAGAAAAUCAUUGCUGUGGUUCCUUUCAGAUCUAAUGUUUUGGGAGUCUAAAAAGUAGAGCUGGGCAUUUUCCCCAGUAGCAUCCUAUUUCACUGUGAGAAUAGUGUGUCAUAUUUCCAAAAUACAAAUGCAUGUUAGAAGUAGAAGUGCGUUUCUUUUAGAGCUGAGUCAAAUAACUUGUCAAGUCGUGAACUCUAGCCAACUGACUUAAUCAUACACAUUCUUCUUCAUUGUUCCCCAGCAUUUUCAUCAAACAAGGACAAUUUUUUGAUAGCGGGGAGAGGGAGUUAAGAGUGAAUUAAUUGCAUUUCUUCUUUAAAAACAUUGUGUCAUUUAGGGCACAUCAUCCUGCCAUUGCAAAACAACUCUAACAACCAUUAAGAAACUAACUGACAUGUAGACUUUUUCACCUUCCUAAUUCUGCAUGAUAAAUGAGAAUGGAUGUCAAAAGAUGCAUCAACAUGCUUCUUUGUUCCAUAGUAAUUAAAAAACCAACAUGCCAAAAAUGUAAGAAAUUAUUCCAAACAACUCUCAUUUUUUUUUUAUUUUCACAUAACUGGAAAGUUUACCACGUUAUUCAGGAGUGUGGGAGAUCGUUGAGCUGAGCAGAGAUGUUUUGAACAGAGCAAUGUAUUGGUUUUUCCAUUUCAGUUCACAGCAUUUGUAUGUCCCUUGAAACAAUUUUCACUUGAAGAAAAAUAAUUGCUUUUAUAGAAAGAAUAUGCACAUGAUUAUUUUUGCCCUCUGAAAUGCAUGGCCACCAUCUAAGGAGAUGCUUUAUUCUUCAUAGAUAAUUCUUCUGCAACUUAGUGACUCUGAUGCAAAAUCAUUAUUGAUAUUCUUGGGUAAGAUUCGACUGGAUGCUCUGGUUUUGUACAUCAAAGAAAAAAUGGUUACAAAGUGAUGACUUAUUACACAGAUUUGGAUGAAGCUCAGGGUAAGUCACUUUGGCCCCUCAAGCAUGGCAGCCUGAUGUAACACAGGGUAGAGUGAAUAUUUAGUUUACGUGCCCCUUUUCUCCCAACCUCUUCUCCCCGACGUGAAUGCAGCUGGCUCCUUCUCAUCCCCAGGUCUCAGCUUGGAUUUCCCUUCCGAGGGUGCUGACUUGAGCAUUCGGGCCAAUACAGGAGUGUUUUGUCAUCCUCCCCGAGGGCUCUGGUUUCUCAUCCCCUCCACCCUCACCCCACCCUCAUCAUAAUUUGCAAUUAUGUAUUUAUUUGUGUGUUUAUUUGGCUAUGGUGUGCCUACUCAAUAGUUUGCACACUUUAGUGAGGGCAGAGGCCAUAUCUGCUCUUCAAUAGCAAUCUUUAGGAGUUUGGCUCCUGGACAAAACCUGUGUGUGAUUUUCCAGGCCUCAUAUGGAAGCUGCCCUCCCCACACCAGGCUUAGUGUAUGGGCCCAUGCAUUGCAGCCUCUGAGGGAAUUGCAGUCAAAGCCUCAGGCCCCCUGGCCAGCCUUGUUCUUAGACGUAUCUGCAUUCCUAGCCCAGGA